rnacentral:rRNA from 1 species
UACGGGGGGAGCAAGCGUUGUUCGGAUUUACUGGGCGUAAAGGGCGCGUAGGCGGCCACCGCAAGUCGACUGUGAAAUCUCCGGGCUUAACCCGGAAAGGUCAGCCGAUACUGCGGGGCUAGAGUGAAGAAGGGGCAACUGGAAUUCUCGGUGUAGCGGUGAAAUGCGUAGAUAUCGAGAGGAACACCUGCGGCGAAGGCGGGUUGCUGGGCUGACACUGACGCUGAGGCGCGAAAGCUAGGGGAGCGAACGGG